rnacentral:lncRNA from 1 species
CUGCUUCGGCGCUCGUUCCGCCGCGGUAGUUAGUUGAAUUGGCACCCGACGCUUCACAGGGCGGCGACCUCGCUGCCUCUUGAUGCUCCAAGACUGUGAAGACGCCUAGACCAGCGGGAAGCCUCCCAAAGACCGCGGUAGCACACCUCCCAAACGCUUAAGAGGCUCCGGCGUCGCUUCUAGUAUCCUCGGGCUCAGGGCGUGCUUGGUGAAAAGCGCAUGAGCUACUGCGGGCCUCGCGGCCUCGGUAAACACCAAAAGGCGCCUGCGCAGUGGGAUUUCCUCUUGUUAGACGCGCGGGGGCGCCUGAGCAAAGAUAACAGCAAUGAGUAGUAACGGAACUGUCCUCUAUCCGUGGUCCUUUUAUUGUCUGCAAAACACAGCCCCCUCCUUUCCUUGAUCCUCUCAAAGGACUUUUGCAAAGAACAUAAAGAACUAGAGAAGGCUUCCAGAACUAGUCCACUUUUGACUUGCCAUGUGGCCUUGGGUAAAUUGCUUCCUGGGGAACCUAAGCUUUCUAACAUUUUAUAGAGGAACCAGCCUGUGGGGAGGAUCAAAUGAGAUCCAAAGAUGUAAAUGACUUUUCAGACUCCCAAGCUAUGUGUAAAAGUGGAAGAUUAUUACAGGCAGUUGAUUGCAGGCAGAGAGACACAUUUCCUCUUUCUGCACAUUGCAAACCUAAGGGCACCACAGAGGCCUGGAGCUUCCACAGGUCACUGUGUGAGCAAGGGCUAGAGCCCCGCCGGUCUGCCUUUGGCCUGGAGCUCUUUCUCGAACCCCAAGGAAUAGUUGGAUGUUGGAACGAACGCACCUGCUGUUCCAGAAAGCCUUGGAGGAGUCAAGGUUUGUCUCAUGACCCAACUGUAUGGAGAAAGCCUGAGCAGAGGGACUGAUGACCUCGCCUGCUUGGGCGGGGUCACAGUUAAUACCUCUGACAACCCCAGCUUGGGCGGGGUCAAAGUUUUAAGAAGCAGGGGUCCGAGCACGUGGUUCUCUUUCGCUCUCGCUAUUCUGCGCGGACUGGAAGUAUUUCUGUGUCCGUCCUUGCUAGCCCCUUUGAGAAAUGUUCAGAUUACCUCGCUACAGAGCGACCUUACUCGCCUGAAACGUGUUCUGUGGUACACCUGCGCCACCUGCUGGUCAAACAUAGUUACUGCGACUGAAAAAUCCACACCAUAGCUCCUAGUCCUGGGAAAUCAAUACAGUUCCCCACAGCCAAUUAAGAACUUCCUAACAGCAAUCCUUGAACUCUCCGGGAAGAAAAUGGGCCACACCUCAUCAAAUCCACUGAAUCCAACUUGAGUCAUUUGAAAUGACACUCCAGACAGAGCUUCGGGUACUGGCUUCAAUCAAGAAAAGGACUUCAACCUAGACCCUCAGUCGAGCAUCUCCCACCAAACAUGGACUCGACUCAAGACUUUCACUACUCUAACAUUUUCUUCCUACAGGACCCCACGAAGCUAUCACCGUCCCAUUUCAGCAGGAAGUAACUUGGAGAAUACUACACUCCCUUUCCCCACUGUUGUCACUAAGAAUAAUGUAUACCUAGUUAGGGCUAGUUUCCUUUUGUUUAGGGUUGGGUUUGGAAGGUAGGUGUUCAGGCUUGGACAUCUCUUUCAGGUGACUUUAGGGUUUAGUUGGAAUAGACAGUUAGGAUGUGAUAUUAGUAGAUUAUUAUAUUUUCU